UCUGUGUUUGUUUUUUUCUGUGUGUUUUUCUGUUUGUGUAUUUUUCUGUGUGUGAGUUUUUUCUGUGUGUUUUUUUCCCUGUGUGUGUUUUUCUGUGUGUUUGUUUUUGUGUGUGUGUGUGUGUGUGUGUGUGUGUGUGUGUGUGUGUGUGUGUGUGUGCUUGCAUGUGUGUGCAUGUGUGUGUGCGUGUGUGUCUAUGUGUGUGGUCCGUUUCUUCCUGAACACAUGCCAACCAUUAGAACUGGCUAAGGCUCUUCCGACUUCUGCCCCAGAUUAUCAACAGACAUUUCUAAUCUCUGAAAGCCAGAUGAGACGGAUUACUGAGCCCAUCUUCUGUCCCCGAACAGAGCGCAUUUAUACAGGACAAAUGGAGUCGGUUCUUCUUUAGUUUACCAUGCUUCACUAAACAGGGUUCUACAGGUCAUGGAGCUGGGUUCUAAAGGUCACAUGGUUCUGUUUGCAUUGAGCUGGGUUCUGUAGGUCACAUGGUUCUGUAGGUCGCAUGGUUCUGUAGGUCACAUGGUUCUGUAGGUCAUGGAGCUUAGUUUUGUAGGUCACAUGGUUCUGUAGGUCACAUGGUUCUGUAGGUCACAUGGUGCUGUAGGUCACAUGGUUCUGUAGGUCAUUGAGCUGGGUUCUGUAGGUCACAUGGUUCUGUAGGUCACAUGGUUCUGUAGGUCACAUGGUUCUGAAGGUCACAUGGUUCUGAAGGUCACAUGGUUCUUUAGGUCACAUGGUUCUGUAGGUCACAUGGUUCUGUAGGUCACAUGGUUCUGUAGGUCACAUGGUUCUGUUGGUCACAUGGUUCUGUAGGUCACAUGGUUCUGUAGGUCACAUGGUUCUGUAGGUCCCACGGUGCUGUAGGUCACAUGGUGCUGCAGGUCACAUGGUUCUGGGGCUCACCGUGUCGGCGUCGAUGUAGAUGGUGGGGCAGUCCGAGCAGGUGGUCAGCAUCUGGGAGGAGCGGAGAAACUUGGAGCCGAUCCCCCGCAGCCCCUCCCCCAGGUAGGUGGCUGCGUCCGUGGUCAGCGUGCAGAACUUCCCCUGGAUGUUCUGGGAGCCAGCAGGACGCCACGUUAAGGCAGUGUGUUUGAUUGGUCCCACUCAAGAACACACGGCUUUGAUAAAACAUAGGAAUGAAAAGCCAUUGCCUUUCCACU
ensembl:lncRNA